rnacentral:rRNA from 1 species
AUACGUAGGAUCCGAGCGUUGUCCGGAUUUACUGGGCGUAAAGGGUGCGUAGGCGGCGUGGUAAGUCUCAUGUGAAAUCUCCCGGCUUAACUGGGAGGGGUCAUGGGAUACUGCCAUGCUUGAGGGCAGUAGAGGAGAGCGGAAUUCCGGGAGUAGCGGUGAUAUGCGUAGAUACCCGGAGGAACACCCGUGGCGAAAGCGGCUCUCUGGGCUGUACCUGACGCUAAGGCACGAAAGCGUGGGGAGCAAACCGGAUUAGAAACCCGAGUAGUCC